ACCGCUUUCAAAUGGAUUACACAUUUUAGUUAUGAACUCGAGGUGGCUCUACUUAAAUUAAAUUCGAAUUGGAUUGCGUUUGCGUUUGCACACAGCAACUGCUGGUUUUGGUUUUGGAUUCUCGUGCUUCGGUUCUGAAGUGGCGUAUAUAUUGUAUAUGCUAUAUCCUGCUCAUAAAUUAUAUGCACUUGCCCACAUCCUUUGUGCGUUUUUCGGGGCUUAAUGGCAUUCUUCGUGUGGGAGUGCGAGUGCAGAGAGCAAAUAUGAAAUAUUUCCCAAACGAAUGUGCCAUAACAAAAGCCAAGGCGCACCUCUCGCAUCCGGGGACUCCUUUUUCCGCGCUUUUCCAACCGCUUUCCCCUGCCACGUAAAUUGCGUAAAAUCCCCACAGCCAAAGCUGCGAAGCCAACGCGUACUCCUCACUAAUUGCACAUUUUUAUCUCAAUUAUUGCGGCUUACUCCUUUGGAGACUUUGCUAGCUACGCGACUACAACAGGCAAGGACAUAAUAAAGCUGAAGAGAAGAGGUCCUGGGCACAAAGGACUCGGCAGCGCGAUUCAUUAAGGGAUUAUGUGCUGGCUAUGAUGUCAUGUUGCAUCCAUUGUGCAAUUUUAGAGGGCACCAGCUUCCAUUAUAUUCAACUUCAAAUUUUAAGUACACAACAAAAACCAGAAUACGAAAUUAAUUUUGUAGAACUAAUCUGUAGUUUAUAAAAACAUGAAACAUGUUUUUAAGCUUGACUGUAAAACUUAUGUUAGUUUAGAAAAUUAUUUACUUAUAUAACUUUUAUCAAUAAAUAUUAAAACAUGUGAA